ensembl:lncRNA
CAGAAAGAACAAGAAGACUUUCAGUACCAGGGAGCGAACUGGCAUCCUUGUGCUUGAGCAGCAGGUGGCAAAACCACUAAGCUAAAUCCCCCGCCCUCUCUUACUCUCUUAAAUGUGAGAAUGACAACAAGGAAAAAAAUCCCAAAGAAAUCACUAAAUGGAUAUCGAACUCGGGACCUUGUGCUUGCAAGGCAGGCGCUGGAACCACUGAGCUAAAUCCUAGGCUCUUAUCUUAACUCUUUACCUUUUAUCCUGUGUUUUCUAAGUUUCUAAGCUUAACUAACUACAUGGCUUAAAUUAGCUCUUAACUCAGUGCUAUUAUUUUCUUUGUAUAUAGCCAGCUCUAUCUUAGGC